UUUCAUAAAAUCUGUCAAAAAUGUUAAAAAUAAAAUGUUCUCAAUUCACUCUCUCUCUCUACCAUUGCUGAGAAAACAAUUACAUUUGACCUCCUUUUUCUUUCUCUUCUCUUCCUUUUAUUUUUCUUUAAGUGAAAUAAAAUAGCCACCAGCCAACCAACACUGGCUACACGGUUGGUGAACCACCGGAACAACCCUAAACCACAAGUCACCUAAGGCAUCGGAGAACCAUCAACAAGCGUAGAUGCGACACCAGCAACAGCCAAUAACCACCGUGCCACUGGAGAAAACACAAACUUUACCUGCAAGGUUCUUAAAUAGCUUGUUUCUGAGGUACUAAAAAUGCAAACUAAAAGCCCCACUUGAUUUUCUUCUCAGACUUGUAAUUUUUAAAUUUUAAUUAGUUGAAUAAGAUGUAAAGGUUGAGUUUGUUCAAUUUUAUUUGAAAAAUUGUAGAUUUUCGGUGUAUGUUAUUAACAAAAUGCUUUUUCUAAGGUGCAAUAUUUAAGUGUUUUGUCCACUUUAGAUAACUAUUUUCUUUUCAUAUUUUCCGAGGAGUCUAGAGUGUUUUUUACAUCAAUGUAGGGAUUAUGAGACAUUGUAAAGAUUGUCUAUUUGAUUCCUGGCAAUAUGAAUGUUCAUGGUACUUGAUUUAAUCACCAAAGUUGGUGUUUUUUCCGUUUUGAGAUGAUUAAGUCAAGAGCAUUGAAAUUUCAUACUGUAAAGAACUUAGAUUUUAAUGGUAAAAAGAUUAAAAUGCAUUUGUCUGUCAAGUGCUUCAAUUGCAGCAUUUUACUUUUUAUGUACUUUUUGGUGAAAUUGGAAUCAUUGCGUGUCUGUAGUUUUUAUUCAUGGGGCUGUGUGAUCUCUAUGAUUUCGGCUAGACAGUUCUUACUUUAUCUUGUGGUUGCAGUAUUAUCUCGUGGCUAGUUGUGUUAGUUUAUUUUUCAUUUAGCUUUUGUGUUUGUGAUACUAUUAUCGGUUCUAAGCUGGGGUCUAUCAAAAAUAGCCUCUCUACUUCAUGUGAGGUAGUGGUAGGGUUUGCAUACCCUCUUUCCUCCCCAGACCCUACUAUGUAGGAAUAAACUGGGUAUGUUGUUGUUGUUGUUCUCCCAUUACUGACAAACACCUACUACUCACUCUACAUUGCCGACAAAUACUAACUACGAGCUUGUGAAUAAUUAACUCUUAGUUUAUUCCUCAAAUAGUUGAGUGGUCGCUAAUUUUGCCCUAGCAUCAAUAAUAAUUAUACGCAAUUUGUAGAUGCACAAUAUGAGCUUGUGAGGGAUCCGAUGCUCAGCUUUGCCAAUUAUAUUCAUCUUUGUCAAUUGUAAAAGGUUUUCUUCUUAACUAUUCGGUCUUCUUCCUUGGGUUAUUGUAGAUCUCGAAUUUGAGGUAUGCUUUCUAUUCCAAAUAGACAACCCUGUAAACUUUGGAGCUCCAAUUUACUCAAUUUUUAAGUUGUGUUGGAUUCUCUAACUUGUUUAAUCCUUUCCAACAAAAUACAAAUUGUGAAAGAACAUUUAUGAAACAAAGAUGCUGAGAUAAGCCUUUGGGAUGGGCAAUCCUCUUAUUGAAUGUCACAAUACAUUUUAACUUUAUUUUCCAUGCUUUGGUAAAUAUAACAUAUCAACUUUCUAAUAUCAGUAAGGUAUAAAUAAUGUUUAUAUAUGUUAUUUUACACAUAUACCAAAAAUAUCUUUCUUUUUUUCUUGUUUUGCUAUAGUAGACUAGCACCUCUCUUAAACAAAUAGUUUUUUAUGUGGACAGAGCUCUACUCAGACUAUUUGUGCAACCUGCGUUUAUAAAUUUAUGUCACAGAUACCAAUGGUAAACUAAGAAUGAGAGAAAAUCAAGGGGAAGUCUAAGUAAUAUCAUUUGGUAAGUGUAAAGGUAAUGUCUAUUGGCUGGUUCAUCUUGGGAUCUUAUAGCAAGUAAAGUUUUUAUUUUUUGUUUGUAAGAAAGCAGAUCAAUCAUGAAUAUCAACUCGGGAUAAAGGGCUUUCAUGGGAGGUCUCAUUGAAUCUCAUGGCGGAAAGGAAGGGACAGAUAAUGAAAAAUAACCUGACUGAUUUACGAUCUUACAAUAAAGUGUUGAUGGUUUACUUUCCAGCGUCUGUAUAGUUGAAAAAUAGGUAAAGUGAUAUCCUUUUUCCAUUUAGUUCAAUUUUGGAAGCAUUUAAAAACAUUUACAUCUCCUCUUUUCACUUAAUCCAAACCUUAUAAUACAAAGAGCCACAUGUCUCUACUUCACCCUUGAUGCACUAUGAAAACAUAUCCUGAUGGUACAUUUGAUGUCAUAUAUAGUUGGGAUACUAUCCUUCUUAUCCAGGUAAUUCAUCUCCUGUGUAGAGCUUCAAAAUCUUUAUCAACCAAUUUAUCUUCUUUAUUUCUACUUUUUGAUUUCUCUUGGUUCCUUCUUUAAUUGAUAUACCACGUACUUAAUUAUAAUUUCUAUGGUGAAAUUUAUCCUUUUUGUGUGUACUCUUCUGUAACUAAAUGACAUUAUGAAAGUUGGUGAUGCUGAAUGUUUUCUUUUGGUUGUACUCUCCAUGCAACAUUUUCCUUCUAGAAUAGUGGAUGCUAUUCUAGCUCUAAAAUACGAUCUUAAAUAAGAUCAUUUUUCAUAUUCCCAUGGGUUUGGCAUUGCCUUUAUACAAUUUAGUUUACUUUUGCCAUUUAGGUAUCAUAUAUCUGGCUCAGCUUUGCUCACAGCUAUGGAUCAAAGCUCUGUAGAUCCACCACUUGAUAUGGCUUCUUCACAUAAAGAUAAUAAAGACCAAGAUGGAAUAUCACAAGUAUAUGCGAAUAGAGAAAAAUUUGUAAAGAGUUCAAAUUAUUUCUCAUAUCCAAGUAGACAACAACACAUUUUCUCAAGUUGAUGAGAGAAUUACAAGAGGCCAUCCUACUGUUGAUAUACCAGAAAUUUUAAG
rnacentral:lncRNA from 1 species